GGUUACACCAUACCGCAUUGAACGCGCCAUAUCUUGUCUGAUCUCGGAAGCUAAGCAAGGUUGGGCCUACUUAGUACUUAGAUGGGAGACUGCCUAGGAAUACCAGGAACUGUAGGUU
ensembl:rRNA 5S_rRNA 5S ribosomal RNA